rnacentral:lncRNA from 1 species
GGGUAAGUGUAUCUAUGGCAUACCCAAGCAUAUUUGUGUAACCUCUUUUUUGGGGGUUGGGGGAACAGGGUCUCGCUCUGUUAUUCAGGUUAGAGUUCAGUGGAAUGAUCAUAGCUCACUGCACCCAUAAACUCGUGGUCUUAAGCAAUCCUCCUACCUCAGUCUCCCACAUAGCUGGGACAUUAGCCACCAAGCCUGGCUAAUUUAAAAAAAAUUCUUAGUAGAGCCACUGUGCCUGGCCUGUAACCUUUGUUUUGACAAAUGGAUAGUAUUAAAGGAAAUUUUCUUGAUACGCAGUUUAGUCUGUUCUUGGACAAGCAAUGCAGUAGGUUUGACUUUGAGUGCUUUAUUACUAACACUUUCUGGCCAGGCCACAGUUAAGGUCCGGUUGGAAAACACUUGUUGAGGUUUGAAUUGUAACCUUUUUACUGGAUGAUAGGGUAUUUUUUAGCCCAUAGAUAAACUUGCUUAAAAAACCAAGAAAGACACUGAAAUCUCAGUCUAUACAUAGUUUCAUCAGUGUUUAUUGGGAACUGUGUUCUGGAUAAAGCAAUCGUAUGUAUACAUUUUUAUUAUGUAAUGUAUAAGUGAUUUGUAAAUUAUAAAGAUCUCCUACGAUAC